rnacentral:misc_RNA from 1 species
CGCACAUUGCGCCCUUUGGCAUUCCGAGGGGCAUGCCCGUUCGAGCGUCAUUAAAUCCAAUCAAGCCCGGCUUGGUAUUGGGCACCGGGGCCUCCCCCGCGCCUCAAUUUCACCGGCUGGCCGUCGUCCGUCUUAGCGUUGUGACACACUUCUCGCUAGCGAUGGACGCCGACCGCGCCGUUAAACACCCCCGAGUUCUUAACGGAAUUCGAUUAAGAUUGACCUCGGAUCGGGUAGGAAUACCCGCUGAACUUAA